rnacentral:rRNA from 1 species
GCCAGACUCCUACGGGAGGCAGCAGUGGGGAAUAUUGGGCAAUGGGCGCAAGCCUGACCCAGCAACGCCGCGUGAAGGAAGAAGGCUUUCGGGUUGUAAACUUCUUUUCUCAGGGACGAAGCAAGUGACGGUACCUGAGGAAUAAGCCACGGCUAACUACGUGCCAGCAGCCGCGGUAAUACGUAGGUGGCAAGCGUUAUCCGGAUUUACUGGGUGUAAAGGGCGUGUAGGCGGGACUGCAAGUCAGAUGUGAAAACCACGGGCUCAACCUGUGGCCUGCAUUUGAAACUGUAGUUCUUGAGUACUGGAGAGGCAGACGGAAUUCCUAGUGUAGGAGUGAAAUCCGUAGAUAUUAGAAGGAACACCAAUAGCGUAGGCAGGUUACUGGGACGGUUCUGACACUAAGGCACGAAAGCGUAGGGAGCAAACGGGAUUAGAUACCCGUGUAC